rnacentral:rRNA from 1 species
UACGUAGGUGACAAGCGUUGUCCGGAUUUACUGGGCGUAAAGAGCGCGCAGGCGGUCGUUCAAGUCGAGUGUGAAAGCCCCCGGCUCAACUGGGGAGGGUCAUUCGAUACUGAUCGACUCGAAGGCAGGAGAGGGUAGUGGAAUUCCCGGUGUAGUGGUGAAAUGCGUAGAUAUCAGCAGGAACACCCGUGGCGAAGGCGGCUUCCUGGGCCGCCCCUGACGCUGAGGCGCGAAAGCGUGGGGAGCGAACGGG